ensembl:snoRNA
AUCCUUUUAUAGCUCACAAGCCUGAUGAUUGGGUUUUCAUGUACAUGGAUGAGAUGUGCCUUUCUUAAACCUGGUUCUUGAAACAUAGGCACAUUACUUGCCUGAUG